CUCACAUCACUAGCAAGGAUCUCUGAUUGGCUGGGUUAUACGAAUAGUGUUCUGAUUGGCCAGCUUCAGCAUGGACUCCCACCCCUUGGUUGACAUGGAUCUCGAGAAGCAGCUGGCUUGGAGGAGGGGCCGUUUCCCGAAGAGAGGACCCAGAGACAGACGGCAUAAGACUAUUCUCUAGAAUCAUCUUAAGGGAAUAUAGCAAGUGAAGACACAUUCAUAGAAGAAACUCGAUUAAAUCUCAGGAAGGACAGCAAGAGUGUGUGGUAUCUGAGCCAUGACCUGCUCCCUCCUCCUUCCCCAGCUCUGUGGGAUGGAAACUUUCCUACAGGUGCCCCUCACUGAUGACCGCACUGCCAUUUCUGCAGGCUUCAAGACUGAAAAUCUCAGUACCACCUCUGACUCCUACAGCUCCCUCAUUGAUGGGGCCAUCUUGGACAAGAUGCUGCCUUCAAGGCUCCCAAGAGGGACAGCAACAGUAGAGGAAGCCAGAGUCCCUGAGAGCAUGCAUCACACCGACUAUGGGCAGCCUGCCCACCUUUUCAUGUUUCUUACUUGGAAGAUGGACUUCUCCUUCAUUUUGAGUGCUACUUAAUUCCCAAGCUUUCAUCCAUUCCAUACUUCUUCCCUUUGUGAUCGCUGGAGACAGGAUAGUUUCCCCCCACUGACAGAGGCUGCCUGGAAACUGUUUUGGAAAAGCAAGCAAUUUCUGGCUUCCCACAGAAGCUCCUAUCCCCGAAAGGUAUUUCCAACCACAUUUCUACUUCCAAGAGGGCCCUGAGGACAGCAAGAGCUCUUCCC
rnacentral:lncRNA from 1 species